CGAACGGGUGAGUAACGCGUGAGCAACCUGCCUAUGACAGUGGGAUAGCCUCGGGAAACCGGGAUUAAUACCGCAUAAAAUCGUAGAAACACAUGUUUUAACGGUCAAAGAUUUAUCGGUCAUAGAUGGGCUCGCGUCUGAUUAGCUAGUUGGUGAGAUAACAGCCCACCAAGGCGACGAUCAGUAGCCGGUCUGAGAGGAUGACCGGCCACAUUGGGACUGAGAUACGGCCCAG
rnacentral:rRNA from 1 species